ensembl:lncRNA
UCCAGUGCUAGCUCAUUAUCAUACUAACCAAUCAGAGCCGUUCAAUGGUCUACAUUGAACGUACAAAGUGCAUUUGCAGCUUUUGACCGCUGAGUGGCGCUUUAAUCACAAGUUUUCAAACAAAGCGCAUCAAAGCACAUUUUCGCAAAUAGACGUCAGCUUUGCCUCACCGUUUUGUUAUAUUUGACUGCAGUCGGGGAAAAUGAAAGGAAAACACUUUAGGCUAGUUAAAAUAUUUAAUAUUCACAGAUGAAAGUUUAGUCCUUAUGAAGAUAUUUGCGUUUCUUAGAACGAAUUCAAGCAGGAUAAAUGUGAAGCCUAUGAGCCUGUGCUUAUAUUUUCUCUACACCAUAUUUUAGAUUUGACACAUUUAAAUAGUGUGCAGUAUUAUUUAUAUAAUAUGAAUUGUGUGUUAUAUUAUUCAAAAGAAAUUGUGGUUUACUUUGUAUCGGAGCAUUAAGAGUGGUAGCCUAUUGUGAGCUAGGCUUGCGUGUUUUAUAAAUUAUUUUCUUUAUUUUAGUAAAACGUGAGGGACUGUAUAAUUUCGCUCCCAUUAUUUAGGCCUAAUUAAAACAAGAAACGAAUAAAUUAAACCUGCACGAUUUAGCUAAAUCACUGAAACUCUAAAGAAUGGACUGAUUAAUAAAACGUCCUCAUGAUUAAACUCAAGUCAUUAUAAUCAACAAAAUACACAAGAUGUAAAAAAGAGCUUCAUUAAUUGACAACUUCAGUGAUUUUAAAUGGAGUCUUCUUUACUUGCUUUCAUAUAAUUUAAGUAAAAAAUAAAUAAAUAAAUGAAAUAAAUAAAUUGCAGCCGCAUUUAAAUGCAGGUUUGUACAAUAUUCUGUAAAAUGUCAGAGUGCAAGAUUUGCUCGGCGCGCAUGAUGCUGAGUGCACCUGCUGCAUUUAUUCUUAUUUGUGAUUAUAAUGAGAGAACUUGAGUUUAAUCGUGAGGACGUUUUAUUAAUCCGUCCAUUCUUUAGAAUUUCAAUGAUUUAGCUAAAUCGUGCAGGUUUAAUUUAUUCGUUUCUU